GAUGAACGCUGGCGGCGUGCCUAAUACAUGCAAGUCGAGCGAACGGACGAGAAGCUUGCUUUUCUGAUGUUAGCGGCUUACGGGUGAGUAACACGUGGAUAACCUACCUAUAAGACUGGGAUAACUUCGGGAAACCGGAGCUAAUACCGGAUAAUAUUUUGAACCGCAUGGUUCAAGAGUGAAAGACGGUCUUGCUGUCACUUAUAGAUGGAUCCGCGCUGCAUUAGCUAGUUGGUAAGGUAACGGCUUACCAAGGCAACGAUGCAUAGCCGACCUGAGAGGGUGAUCGGCCACACUGGAACUGAGACACGGUCCAGACUCCUACGGGAGGCAGCAGCAGGGAAUCUUCCGCAAUGGGCGAAAGCCUGACGGAGCAACGCCGCGUGAGUGAUGAAGGUCUUCGGAUCGUAAAACUCUGUUAUUAGGGAAGAACAUAUGUGUAAGUAACUGUGCACAUCUUGACGGUACCUAAUCAGAAAGCCACGGCUAACUACGUG
rnacentral:rRNA from 1 species